rnacentral:rRNA from 1 species
GACGAACGCUGGCGGCGUGCUUAACACAUGCAAGUCGAACGGAAAGGCCCUGCUUUUGUGGGGCGCUCGAGUGGCGAACGGGUGAGUAACACGUGAGUAACCUGCCCUUGACUUUGGGAUAACUUCAGGAAACUGGGGUUAAUACCGGAUAGGAGCUCCUGCUGCAUGGUGGGGGGUGGAAAGUUGCGGCGGUGGGGGUUGGACUCGCGGGUUAUCAGCUUGUUGGUGGGGUAGUGGCUUACCAAGGCUUUGACGGGUAGCCGGCCUGAGAGGGUGACCGGCCACCUUGGGACUGAGAUACGGCCCAGAGUCCUACGGGAGGCAGCAGUGGGGAGUAUUGCACAAUGGGCGGAAGCCUGAUGCAGCAACGCCGCGUGCGGGAUGACGGCCUUCGGGUUGUGAACCGCUUUCGCCUGUGACGAAGCGUGAGUGACGGUAAUGGGUAAAGAAGCACCGGCUAACUACGUG